AGGUCAAACAUUAUGGUACAAACAUACGACUUUGCUCAUAACAAUAACCCUUUUGGCCAUUUCUGUGAUCGUACAUAUAAUUUUGAUCUUCUAUCGAACUCAAGCCUUUCCAUGUCAAAUAGUUAAAGAAAGCCCCUCAGAAGUGGAACGCAACAACUUGACCCAACAAAGAGAUGAAAUUCUUGAUAAAGGACAGGAUCUGAGUUACUCUGCAUUACAUUUUUCUGGAGGGAAAAUACCUAGAGGAACCAAGAAGAGGGAACUGAAGACAGAAGAAAUGGUGUAUUCAGAAGUCAGACCAUCAGGUUAAAUGGAUGUUGAGAUGAAACCAUUAAUUUUUCCAUUAG